AUUGAACGCUGGCGGCAUGCCUUACACAUGCAAGUCGAACGGUAACAGGUCUUAGGAUGCUGACGAGUGGCGAACGGGUGAGUAAUACAUCGGAACGUGCCCGAUCGUGGGGGAUAACGAAGCGAAAGCUUUGCUAAUACCGCAUACGAUCUACGGAUGAAAGCAGGGGACCGCAAGGCCUUGCGCGAACGGAGCGGCCGAUGGCAGAUUAGGUAGUUGGUGGGAUAAAAGCUUACCAAGCCGACGAUCUGUAGCUGGUCUGAGAGGACGACCAGCCACACUGGGACUGAGACACGGCCCAGACUCCUACGGGAGGCAGCAGUGGGGAAUUUUGGACAAUGGGCGAAAGCCUGAUCCAGCCAUGCCGCGUGCAGGAUGAAGGCCUUCGGGUUGUAAACUGCUUUUGUACGGAACGAAAAGACUCUGGUUAAUACCUGGGGUCCGUGACGGUACCGUAAGAAUAAGCACCGGCUAACUACGUGCCAGCAGCCGCAGUAACAC
rnacentral:rRNA from 1 species